ACAGCACCCUGAGCCCCAAAGAUCAUCAUUUUCCUUUAAUAAUGAUCUUAUCUUGGGUGCUAACAUCAUAUGUACCAUGUCGCCUUUCAAGAGCUGAAGUGCUCAUGAAAGUGAAAUGGAAGGUUCUACACAC